AAGGCCUUGAGCAAGGCGAGCCGCGACCUCGUCCAGCACCAGCACGAUCAGGAGUCCCGGCGUUCCUACCAGAGCAAAACCCUAAAGAUCAAGAUCGAUUAACUCGUCUUGUUGUUUGUUCUGGAUUUGGAUUUUUAUCCCUUUGAUCUGCAGGCGAAUCCGUGCAAUCGGCUCGAGGAGAUCUGCCGCGAACUUCGCACGGAUUUAAUCGACAAAGCAAGAAAAUGUUCGUAGCAGGGGUUACUGGCUUCUUCUGGUCCUUCCUCCAUGAGCACAUAAAUUGAAUCUGAUGACAUGGCAUGCACAAAUUUGAACUAGGUGUGCUUGACCCUUCAGAAGGAAGCAAAAUAAAUGUGUUAUGGAGGCCUCUAGAGGAUAAACCAUGUAUUUGGUACAUCGAGUGUUUCCACGAUGUUGUGAAGAGUUUUUUUGAAGUACCUGAUUAAUGAAAACAGCACUAGGUUUCCUCACCUAUCAGAUUUCAAUAUAGAGCGAGCUUAUUGCUAAUCUUGUUCUUGAUUUUGUUUGUUGACCCGCCAUAAACUUGGAGGUGGCAAUGGAUCUGGUCAAAUAUACCAACCUGUGGUUCCACCAGUGCUUCCAAUCACUUGGCAGGUUUGCCGUUGGGUGACCGAACUCACUGUUUGUAGUGGGUGAUAACCAGUCGCUCCACAAAAGUUUUGCUUGACUAUGGCAAGAGGUUACCAAGAGACCACCAAAUAAAAGUUCCCCACAUUUAUCACAACAAAAAGCUCCAAUUGCAGUGGAAGGAACUUGAUGUGCCCACAGUGUGCAUCCACUUCAACCCAAGUGACCUCAUAUCGCAGUGAAAAGAAAUCCAUAUCCUGUUCCAAAGCUACACCGAGAAUUAUGAUGCCAGUAUAUCCUAUGAGAACUAAAAAAUGCAUCAGGACUAGCUUUACUUACCUGUCAGGGCACAUCAAUGGCUUUGUGUGCAGUCUUUUAGCAGCCAGGUUGAUGUGGUUACCUGAACUAGUGACUGUAUACAAUUUCACCAAUGCAUCUCAGAAGCAGGUCAACGAAGUUAUGUAAGCAGCAUGGACAGGGCUUCCAUCUCAAUGAAGAAUGACCCAUUUACACACUGUAGCCAGUGGGCACAAGUUGCAGCUGUCGAGCCUUUUCUUUACAUAUUCACUCUGCAGCCCAAACAUUUCAGGUUUUGUUUCUUUGCAGCUGAACUAAAGGCAAGCAGCAGAUGGAGGUUUGCUGACUUCUGAGAUAAUUCUGCUACACUCAAGAACUGCAC